rnacentral:rRNA from 1 species
CGUUGGUGAACCAGCGGAGGGAUCAUUACCGAGUUUACAACUCCCAAACCCCUGUGAACAUACCAAUUGUUGCCUCGGCGGAUCAGCCCGCUCCCGGUAAAACGGGACGGCCCGCCAGAGGACCCCUAAACUCUGUUUCUAUAUGUAACUUCUGAGUAAAACCAUAAAUAAAUCAAAACUUUCAACAACGGAUCUCUUGGUUCUGGCAUCGAUGAAGAACGCAGCAAAAUGCGAUAAGUAAUGUGAAUUGCAGAAUUCAGUGAAUCAUCGAAUCUUUGAACGCACAUUGCGCCCGCCAGUAUUCUGGCGGGCAUGCCUGUUCGAGCGUCAUUUCAACCCUCAAGCCCAGCUUGGUGUUGGGACUCGCGAGUUAAAUCGCGUUCCCCAAAUUGAUUGGCGGUCACGUCGAGCUUCCAUAGCGUAGUAGUAAAACCCUCGUUACUGGUAAUCGUCGCGGCCACGCCGUUAAACCCCAACUUCUGAAUGUUGACCUCGGAUCAGGUAGGAAUACCCGCUGAACUUAAGCAUAUCA